rnacentral:misc_RNA from 1 species
GGGAAUGGCCUUGUGUGAAUCAAUUCAUUCCUGUACUUAAACACACGCACAUCGCCGUGUGUCCGGAAUCUAAUCUGGACGCUGGCUCUUAGUCGUGACUUAAGGGGUUGUUACGUUGAUACUGGAGGGUAGAUUAGCGAGAGAAACGCGCAUUUUUGCGAGAAAAUUGUUUUAUCUUGCAUAGACCAUUGCUCAAGUUACGCUCUAUCUUAUUGCCGACUGAAAUGUCGUGUAAUUAAUUCGCUCGCGUAAAAUCGUAAGUCAUGGAAGAAUUUAAGUCUGCCAUUUACGACGCACAGAGAUACGUGGCGAAUGAAAAGUUGAAUACACAAAUUUUUAAGAAGCUGAUAAGGUGGGAAUUCACUGAACAAAAUCUGUAUCUUUAAGACAGAACUCUUUGGUUAAAGUAUAUAGAAAUUGC